CUUUUAAUUUGUUUUAAAUGCAAUUGAUUUUCUGCAUCUAUGAAAUGAAAUCUAGAUUUAAUUCACUGUGCAAUCGGGAGGAAGAUUUAAUUCAAUUUGUUUGGUUCUUUGAAGGAUUUGAAUAUCUUAAUGAGUUUUCAAAAUGAGUAAAAUGAAAGAUGAUUUGAAUUUGAUGCUUGACUUCACUUAAUGCUUUUGCAAGCAAAGGAAGAGUUACAAUAUUUGAUGGAACACUUUGUCUCUUGAGAAAAUUCACUAAACCACAUAAGUUUUAUUUAUUCAAGUGCAUUGCUUUAAUUAUGGAAUGAUCACUGUUGUGCACUUGUGCUUGAAUGACUGUGAUUCAUGUUAUAGCGUGUUGUGUUUCUGAUGAGAUUCUUACUCUAUUUUUCUGGUUUGAUCUUUUCGUGUAGGUUUUCAUAUACUUAUUCUCCAGUGGCUACGUUACUGCAUCCUAAAUGGUUCGGGAAAAAGAUGUCUGUUGGGAAUAUGCAGACAAAUUAGAUGGAAACAAGGUAAGGUGUAAAUUUUGUCAAAGAGUUCUGAAUGGUGGCAUAAGUAGGUUGAAGCAUCAUUUAUCUCGAUUCCCUAGUAAAGGGGUAAAUCCUUGUAGCAAGGUCAGAGAUGAUGUUACAGAUAGAGUAAGGGGUAUAAUAGCAUCAAAGGAAGAGGUCAAAGAAAUCUCCAGUUCAAAGAAGCAAAAAAUAGCAGAAGUCAAGUCUCCCAGUAAUCUUUCAGCAACUAAAGCUCUUGUAUCUUUGGAUGUAGCAUCCCCUGUCAUGAAGAUUUUCCCAACUGGCAAUCCUAUGACCCCUUCCUCUACGAAUAACCAAGAGAAUGCAGAGAGAAGUAUUGCUCUAUUCUUUUUUGAGAAUAAGCUAGACUUCAGUGUUGCAUGAUCUUCAUCUUAUCAGUCAAUGAUUGAUGCCAUUGCAAAGUGUGGUCUUGGAUUUACUGGUCCGUAUGCAGAAAUCCUAAAAACAACAUGGUUGGAAAGGAUAAAAUCAGAAGAGGGAUUACAGUCAAAAGAUGUUGAGAAAGAGUGGGCCACUACAGGUUGCACCAUUAUUGCAGACACAUGGACAGAUUAUAAAUCAAAGGCCAUAAUUAAUUUCUUAGUCUCAUCACCAUCCAGGACCUUUUUCCAUAAAUCUGUGGAUGCCUCUGCAUAUUUCAAGAACACCAAGUGGCUGGCUGAUCUUUUUGAUUCUGUAAUUCAAGAGUUUGGCUCUGAAAAUGUUGUGCAAAUUAUUAUGGAUGGCUGUGUUAACUACACUGGUAUUGCUAAUCAUAUUGUGCAGAGUUAUGGAACUAUAUUUGUAUCUCCUUGUGGCUCUCAAUGUUUAAACCUAAUCUAGGAGGAAUUCUCCAAGGUUGAUUGGAUUAGUAGAUGUAUUUUACAAGCACAAACCAUAUAAAAUUUAAUAUACAAUAAUGCCUCAUUGCUCGAUCUUAUGAAGAAGUACACUGGAGGCCAAGAACUUAUCAGGACUGGAAUCACAAAGUCUGUAUCCACCUUCCUGUCUUUACAGUCUAUGUUGAAAUUGAGAACAAGAUUGAAGAAUAUGUUCCACAGCCAUGAAUAUGCCUCAAACACUUCGUAUGCAAAUAAACCACAGAGUCUUUCUUGUAUUGCUAUUGCUGAAGAUGGUGAUUUCUGGAGGACAGUGGAAGAGUGUGUGGCCAUCUCUGAGCCUUUUUUGAAAGUAUUGAGAGAAAUAUCAGAAGGGAAACCAACUGUGGGUUCCAUAUAUGAACUAAUGAGCAGGGCCAAAGAAUCAAUCAGGACACACUACAUAAUGGAUGAGAAUAAGUGUAAGAAAUUCUUAGAUAUAGUUGAUAAAAAGUGGUGAGACCAACUCCAUUCACCUCUACAUGCAGCUGCUGCCUUCUUGAACCCCAGUAUCCAAUACAAUCCUGAAAUAAAAUUUAUUUCUUCUAUAAAAGAAGACUUCUUUAAUGUACUGGAGAAAUUGCUUCCUGUACCAGAUAUGAGGCGUGACAUCACCAAUCAAAUCUAUACUUUUACAAAGGCACAUGGAAUGUUUGGCUGUAGCCUAGCAAAGGAGGCAAGGAAUACAGUUGCACCUUGGCUUUGGUGGGAGCAGUAUGGUGACUCUGCUCCGGGGUUGCAAUGAGUUGCCAUUAGAAUAUUAAGUCAAGUUUGCAGCACCUUCUCAUUUCACAGACAGUGGAGUACCUUUUGGCAAAUUCUCUCUGAGAAGCGGAACAAGAUUGAUAGAGAAACAUUUAAUGACCUAGUUUAUGUAAACUACAAUCUCAAGUUAGCUAGGCAGAUGAGUGCAAAGUCUACAGAAGUUGAUCUGCUUCAAUUUGAGGAUAUUGACAUGACUGCUGAGUGGGUGGAGGAGAAUGAAACUGCAAGUCCAACACAGUGGCUGGAUCGUUUUGGUCCUGCCUUGGAUGGCAAUGAUUUGAAUACAAGACAGUUUGGUUCUUUCUAUAUUUGGUGCAAAUGACCCUAUAUUUGGAUUGUAAUUUUGUAUUCAUCAUGUACCAUAGCAAGUGUCUUUUCUAGUUCUAGAUCGUGUUCAGCCUUGAUGAAGUAGGGCUUAGUUUUCCUUGUAGGAAUGUAUCUGAAAGUGAUGUAAAGACAGGACUCUAUUAUUUGUCUCCCGUUCUCUACUCUCAGCCAACAUGUGGGAGCAUAGAUUGUUGAUUAAUGUGUUGUAAACUGUAAUUUUGUUGUAUUGGAAUUUAGAAAUUCAGUAGUUUUCACGUUU